GGGGUGUGCAAUAGACUUACCUCGAUGUGGUGCACCCCGGGCAACGUAUUCUCAUACGGCAAAAAAGUCAAU
rfam:Hymenolepis nana genome assembly, scaffold: HNAJ_contig0004205